GUAGGGGGCAAGCGUUAUCCGGAUNUACUGGGUGUAAAGGGAGCGUAGACGGAUUAGCAAGUCCGAUGUGAAAGGCANGGGCUCAACCCCUGGACUGCAUUGGAAACUGCCANUCUUGAGUGCCGGAGAGGUAAGCGGAAUUCCUAGUGUAGCGGUGAAAUGCGUAGAUAUUAGGAGGAACACCAGUGGCGAAGGCGGCUUACUGGACGGUAACUGACGUUGAGGCUCGAAAGCGUGGGGAGCAAACAGGAUUAGAUACCCUGGUAGUCCACGCGGUAAACGAUGAAUGCUAGGUGUCGGGGAGCANAGCUCUUCGGUGCCGCCGCAAACGCAUUAAGCAUUCCACCUGGGGAGU
rnacentral:rRNA from 1 species